AAAGGUUUACAUCUUAAAUUGGUGGGGCUAUGAGCUGAGUUCAUCACGUCACUCCAUCCUAUGUCCCCUGGGAAGGUCUGAGACUAGGGCCAGCAGUGGCCCUAACAGGGCCUCCCUGAGUGCAGGGAGGUGAAUUCCCAGAGAACAGGGCUCUGCACGAGGGCAGACCGGGCAGGAAGUAAAGCUUUGAGGGGCACAAUAUCCCUGACUGUGUACUGCUGAAGGGCAUUGUGGGCAACGUAGGUUUUCCUCUUAUUAAAUACUUCAAUAAACAGGUAUUCAGAACAAGCCUGGUCACUCU
ensembl:misc_RNA RNaseP_nuc Nuclear RNase P